CCCGACACCGACGACCUGCCCACGGCCACUACCCUCGGCAGCCAGUGCAGCAGCCGGCUGCUGAGCGCGUGCGGCGCGCGCGUGCUGCUGGAGCUGCCGGGCGGCGCGCGGCGGCUGCCGGCCGGCGCCGUGCUGCCCGCGCUCGUCGUGGCCCGGCUCGACACCACGCGAUACUGAACCCUUUGCUAGUCGCGCGUGUAUACCGCAAUCCCGUACCCCCACUUUGGAAUGAAAUGCACCUUUGAAUCACGUUUAAGUAAUCUCACAUAUAUUUUUUUUAAAGUUGAUUUAACAUUAUUACAAUCCGCUA
rnacentral:lncRNA from 1 species